rnacentral:rRNA from 1 species
GACGAACGCUGGCGGCGUGCUUAACACAUGCAAGUCGAGCGGAGCGGCGAACGGGUGAGUAACGCGGGAGUAACUGCCCCCCUCCCUGGGAUAACAGUUGGAAACGGCUGCUAAUACCGGAUAGUGGGGGAUGACUCGGGUCCUAUCAGCUUGUCGGUGGGGUAGUGGCCUACCGAGGCGGAGACGGGUAGCCGGCCUGAGAGGGCGACCGGCCACAUUGGGCUGAGAUACGGCCCAAAGUCCAACGGGGGGCAGUAGUGGGGAAUAGUGCACAGUGGGGGCAACCCUGAUGCAGCAACGCCGGGGGCGGGAUGACGGCCUUCGGGUUGUAAACCGCUUUCAGCCAUGACGCGGUAGUGGCAGAAGAAGCACCGGCUAACUACGUGCCAGCAGCCGCGGUAAUAC